UGCCCCUCACCUGUGGGCGGACGGACCGUGGCACAGCCCUGCCGGCGUCGUUAUUACUCAGCAACGAGAAGGAGCAAACUGCUGACAUGCCACCAGCACGGAUGGACCGCAGGGGCGCGGUGCUGAGUGAGGAGCCCGACUUGGACGGCCACGUGCGGCGUGACUUUGUUCCGUGACAUCCCAGAAAGACGAAACUUUACAAACAGACAGCAGAUCAGUCAUUGCCAGGGGUUGGGGGAUGGGGGCGCAGACGCAGGAGGGUGAGGGGUCAGGGGGCUGAGGACAGAGCUGUUCUGGGUCUUGAUUGCGGUGCUGGAUCUGUUUGUCAGAACUCACAGAACCACACAGCAAAAAGGGUGAGUUUUACUGUAAGUAUAUUAUAUUUAAAAAAAAAUUACGAGUCUUGGAGUAAGAUGAGGAGUUCCUCCUUAACGGGUACAGAGUUUCUGUUUGGAUUGAUGAGAAUUUUUGGAAAUAAAUAGUGACGAUGGGUGCACAAUGUUGUGAAUGUAAUUAACGCCACUGAAUGGUACAUUUAGAAAUGGUUAAAAUGGCAUUUUACCACAAUUUUUUUUAAGUGAGAAACAAAGAGUCCAGGGGUAGAUUUCAGGCAUGGCUGGAUCCAAGAUUCUCUCCCUCUCUGAGGCCCUCUUUUCUCUCUCUCUGGCUUCAUUCCCAGCAGGCUCCCCCCAAGCGGUGACAAAGGCCAUCCGGAAAGGUCCAGGGCUGCCUCGCCCAGCCUCCCAACAUGAGCAGGAAGGAAGCGCUUCACGGCCAACAGUUCCUGGAAGUCCCAGGUCGAGUCUCGGUGGUUGGCGUUAGGACUUGAGUCGGCCCCUCAGACAAUCACUGGGGCCAGGGGGUUGGGAUGCUCUGACUGGCCAGGCCUGGGUCACACGCCCACCCCCAGAGCUGAGGGAGCCCCCCAACCCAAGGCCCUGGGAGGAAGAUCAGGGAGGGGCGGAUCGCACAGAAACCCAGGAGCUCUGCCUGCAGCCCUGGGCCGUGUUCAGUGUCGGGGGUCACCUGAGCGCUCUGUCCUCCAUUCUCCCGGCAGAGCCCACGGAGACACAGCAGACACUCACCGUGCCGUCCCCGGGUUUGCAUAAGAGCCCACGUCCACGAAGUAGCAACUGCAAUGUUUUUCAAUCACACAGCGAAGAUAUUUAAAAAUAUCACCCAUAUGUGUUUUAAAUACAGGCAAAUAGCUGGCACGGCAGCCGGCUUCACACCCGCGUGCCAUUCUGAGUUCUGUCUUCUCGCUUCCAACUCUCAGAAUCGCACGUUGAAGGCCAGACGAGCCCAGAACGCGGCUCGGGCUGUGCGCCUCGGGCUCGCUUCCCCGGGAGGAACAGCCGGGCUCCCGGGCCCUGGCGGGAUCACUGGCCCUCGCCGAGAACACAGAAAUGGAACCAGGACAUUUUUAGGGACGUUUGAGGAAGUUCUCCAGCCUCCUUCGUGAAAGCAUCUUUACUGGUCCGGCGCGGGCCGGCUCCCUCACUGCCCCGCCUGCCCAGAGUGUCCCCUGUGUGGUCUUAAAGUCCUUGAAAUCCGACCUUGCUUAGAUGAGGUUUUAUAACUUGAGGCUUCCCACAUCUUCCCACCUUUUCUCUCAGAUUUAUACUUUUAUACAUCCCAAAUAAUACCCUUUGGCUAUAAGUAACAGAUAAUUCCAACUCAAACUGGUUACAAUUAUAAUAGAUCAUCUUUUUUUAAAAAAAGCUUCAGUGCAUGGUUGUGCAUCCUAGUUGUUAGUUUAGUUCUCUGUGUGAGCUACCACCACAGUGUGACAACUAACAGACGGGUGGUGUGAACCCAGCCUGGGGUGAGAGCCCUGGACCUUAACCAUAGUCCACCAGGGCUGGGUCAGUAUGAUAGAUGAUCUUAUACAAGAAGUGCAGAGGUCGGUGACUCUGAGUUUGGUGUGAUCAGUGGCUAGGUAACAUCAACACUCUACCCUGCCAUCAUCUGUGUGGCCUUUACCCUCAGCCUGCUUCUCUUCAUGGCCCCAAAAUGGCUGCCCCUGCACCAGGUAUCACAUCUAGGCACAGAAACAUCCACAGAAGACUUCAGCAGGUCUCCCCUCACAUCUCAUUGGCUAGAAGUUAGUCACAUGUCCACUCCUAGGCCAAUCACCAGCAGGGGCAAUGGGAGGAGAAGAAGCCAGAACAAUAGGUAGAAAAAGGAGGAGAAGGAGGAAGGAAAGGGGCAGGGUCACGGGGGAGGAGAUUUCUGAGAAAUCUUGGGGAACUCUCAUCUAUCCUGGGAUUGAUGUGCAUUUGGCUCUUGCUCUCUAAAGCUUCCUCCUGCUCCAGCCCCUCCCGGCUCCCUCUGCCCCAAGCUGCAAGCGUCUUGGGACAUUUCAGUCCUUCUGUCUUUUGAAGCACCAACGGGCGAAGAAGCUGACAUUCAAGGCUUUCACAAGGAGGAGAAACCAGGAGGGUGGGGGCGGCCGAGGCGAAGGACAUGGGGUUCUGGCCUGUUGCUCUCAGUGAUGGCCCUUGAGUGAGCACUGAACGGGGCCUCGUGACAGCUCCCGUGUCUGCAGGACCCAUACCCUGAACAGUUGGGGUCUUCGUGCCGCCACUCCUGAGCCCAGCAGGGAGCAGCACCCCCGUUUUACGGAAAAACGAGCCCUGGAAGGUGCUGGGUGACUUGUCAAGGCCGAAGGCAUCGCGACUCUGGCUGGCUGGGGCAUAAGAGCGGCUGGGACCCUGGCACCCAGGACCGGUGGUGGAGCCUCGGUCUGACUUCGGGGUGCUCACAGUCUGAGGUCAGAGGGUCACAGCAGGCUGAGAGCAGAGAGCCCCGUGGCGUCGGGGUGGGUGACCGUGGGGGCCAAGGUUGCUGAAACCCCGUGAGCGGCUCAGGCACGGGUGCAGGUCCGCUGGCUGCGGUGACACACGGGCCCGCGCACCGCGGCUGGGCCGG
rnacentral:lncRNA from 1 species